CCUACGGGAGGCAGCAGUGGGGAAUUUUGGACAAUGGACGCAAGUCUGAUCCAGCCAUUCCGCGUGCAGGACGAAGGCCUUCGGGUUGUAAACUGCUUUUGUACGGAACGAAAAAGCUCUUAUUAAUACUAGGAGUCCAUGACGGUACCGUAAGAAUAAGCACCGGCUAACUACGUGCCAGCAGCCGCGGUAAUACGUAGGGUGCAAGCGUUAAUCGGAAUUACUGGGCGUAAAGCGUGCGCAGGCGGUUAUAUAAGACAGAUGUGAAAUCCCCGAGCUUAACUUGGGAACUGCAUUUGUGACUGUAUAGCUAGAGUACGGCAGAGGGGGAUGGAAUUCCGCGUGUAGCAGUGAAAUGCGUAGAUAUGCGGAGGAACACCGAUGGCGAAGGCAAUCCCCUGGGCCUGUACUGACGCUCAUGCACGAAAGCGUGGGGAGCAAACAGGAUUAGAUACCCUGGUAGUCCACGCCCUAAACGAUGUCAACUGGUUGUUGGGUCUUCACUGACUCAGUAACGAAGCUAACGCGUGAAGUUGACCGCCUGGGGAGUACGGCCGCAAGGUUGAAACUCAAAUGAAUUGACGG
rnacentral:rRNA from 1 species